AAGACAGACUCCCAGUCUCUGCAGGGGUGGACAAACAGACUCCAUGAAAGCCUGCGGGGCCUGAAUGAAAGGCCUAGAGACGGCAGACCCAAUGCCCUGAAAAUGCUACAAACAACAUGGGCCUCCCUGCUUAGGACCCAAAUUACGGGCACUGAUAAUCAGCGGUGUUCCCCAGGGGUCGGUGCUGGGUCUGGUCAUGUUCAAUAUCUUCAUCAGUGACUUGAAUGAAGGGAUAGAGACCACCCUCUGCAAGUUUCCUGAUGAGUCAGAAGUGACUGACACACCAGAAGGCUGUGCUGCCAUUCAGCGAGAUCUGGACAGGAUGCACAAUUAGGCAGAGAAGAACUUGAUGAGGCUCAACAAAAGCAAGUAUACAGCCCUACAUCUGGGGAGCUAUAAUUGCAUGCAUCAGUACAGGUUAGGGGCUGACCUGCUGGAGAGGACCUCCGUGGAGAAGGGCCAGGGUGUUCUGGUAGACAACAGAUUGUCCAUGAGCCAGCAGUGUGUCCUUGUGGCAAAGAAGGCCAAUGGUAUCCUGGGAUGCAUUAAAAAGAGCAUGGCCAGCAGGUUGAGGGAGAUGAUCCUCCCCCUCUACUCUGCCCAGGUGAGGCCACAUCUGCAUCCAGUUCUGGGCUCCUCAGUUCAAAAAAGUCAGGGAACUAUGGGGUGGAGUCCAGCGGAAGGCAACAAAGAUGAUGAGGGGCCUGGAACACCUCUCUGAUGAGAAAAUGCUGAGAGACCUGGGACUGUUCAGCCUGGAGAAGAGACCAAUGAUUCUGUGAUUUAUCUUCAGCACCUGUGUAUCAAAUAAUACUGAAGUAGCUAGUUGAACUUCAUGUUAAUUAACUAAUAAAAAUUUAGAUGGAAUCUUACAAGGACCCUCAAAUGCAUGUGGAGUUGCUGUAUGUGGAUAUUUUUGGAAAUAUGAUAUGCUAUACUAAACAAAAUAUACUUAAUUAUACAGGUUUCUGCUAAAUUAUUUUAUAUUGAAGUAUGGAAGGUGAGAAUAUCACAUGCCCCUUUAAAAUUUAGACUAACAACAACAAAAGAAUAAGAAUUUCUUUACAAAUGAUAUUUUUAAUACAAAACAACACUCUUCUUGAAUAGGUAAUUCACUUCAUGUAAUUACAUUUACACAGAAAAAAAAUGGGUAAAUUCAAAUAUUCUUUUUAAAAUCCAUUAUUAAAAAAAAAAAAAAAAAAAAAAGAUCCAGCAUACAUAGACAGUAGUCAGUUUCAAAGUCAGUAGUCAUUAGUUUAAAAGCAAGUAUCCAAAACACAGCUGUUAACCAUACACCCAAAUUGCUUAGACUGGACAACUGUAUUUAAAAUAUUUUAAAGCCUGUUUUGAAGAACACCACCCUCAUAGAAUCUAAAUGUAAAAGAAGGAUAUUAACAAAAGUGAUUUUUUGAAGCCUAGGUGUGAGAAAACUGAUAACGACAGUGUGAUAUUAACAUGUCAACAAUGAAUAAAUACAAGAACUUAAAGUUCAAAC
ensembl:lncRNA